rfam:Ovis aries breed Texel chromosome 2, whole genome shotgun sequence.
UCCCUGGUGGUCCAGUGGUUAAGAUUCUGCACUUCCAUUGUAGAGACUGCAGGUUUGAUUCCUGGUUGGGGAA